rnacentral:rRNA from 1 species
AACGUAGGAGACAAACGUUAUCCGGAGUUACUGGGCGUAAAGGGCGUGUAGGCGGUUUGUUAAGUCUGGCGUGAAAGCUCUCGGCUAAACCGGGAGAGGUCGUUGGAUACUGGCGAACUAGAGGAUGGUAGAGGCGUGUGGAAUUCCGGGUGUAGUGGUGAAAUGCGCAGAUAUCAGGAGGAACACCGGUGGCGAAGGCGGUUCUCUGGGCAUGACCUGACGCUGAGGAGCGAAAGUGUGGGGAGCGAACAGG